GCCUGGGUGGCUCAGUAGGUAAAGCAUCUGCCUUCAGUUCAGGUCAUAAUCCUGGGGUCCUGGGAUCGAGUCCCGCCUCAGGCU
rnacentral:tRNA from 1 species